rnacentral:rRNA from 1 species
AUUGAACGCUGGCGGAAUGCUUUACACAUGCAAGUCGAACGGCAGCACGGGGCAACCUGGUGGCGAGUGGCGAACGGGUGAGUAAUACAUCGGAACGUGCCCAAUCGUGGGGGAUAACGUAGCGAAAGCUACGCUAAUACCGCAUACGAUCUACGGAUGAAAGCGGGGGAUCGCAAGACCUCGCGCGAAUGGAGCGGCCGAUGGCAGAUUAGGUAGUUGGUGGGGUAAAGGCUCACCAAGCCUGCGAUCUGUAGCUGGUCUGAGAGGACGACCAGCCACACUGGAACUGAGACACGGUCCAGACUCCUACGGGAGGCAGCAGUGGGGAAUUUUGGACAAUGGGCGCAAGCCUGAUCCAGCCAUUCCGCGUGCAGGAUGAAGGCCCUCGGGUUGUAAACUGCUUUUGUACGGAACGAAAAGGCUUUCUCUAAUACAGGGAGCUCAUGACGGUACCGUAAGAAUAAGCACCGGCUAACUACGUGCCAGCAGCCG